rnacentral:rRNA from 1 species
CGUACACUCCUGCGGGAGGCAGCAGUGGGGAAUUUUGGACAAUGGGCGAAAGCCUGAUCCAGCCAUGCCGCGUGCAGGAUGAAGGCCUUCGGGUUGUAAACUGCUUUUGUACGGAACGAAACGGCCUUUUCUAAUAAAGAGGGCUAAUGACGGUACCGUAAGAAUAAGCACCGGCUAACUACGUGCCAGCAGCCGCGGUAAUACGUAGGGUGCAAGCGUUAAUCGGAAUUACUGGGCGUAAAGCGUGCGCAGGCGGUUAUGUAAGACAGUUGUGAAAUCCCCGGGCUCAACCUGGGAACUGCAUCGGUGACUGCAUAGCUAGAGUACGGUAGAGGGGGAUGGAAUUCCGCGUGUAGCAGUGAAAUGCGUAGAUAUGCGGAGGAACACCGAUGGCGAAGGCAAUCCCCUGGACCUGUACUGACGCUCAUGCACGAAAGCGUGGGGAGCAAACAGGAUUAGAAACCCCUGUAGUCCCA